AUGGGACAUUGGAUUGAUGAUUAGGUCUAGGUGGUUGGUGGAUGGGUGGGUCAUUUUUAAAAUUCAAUAUUGGUUGGCUCGAUAAUUGACCUAGUUCUCUCUUCAUGGAAGACUCAACUAACUGGUCUAUUUGUGCUUCUAACCUAGCGAGGGAUUGCUGUUGGAUCAUAAUCAUUUGUUGGAGUUGAUUGAAUCUAUCUUUGGCU
rnacentral:lncRNA from 1 species